ensembl:ncRNA Y64G10A.355 ncRNA
CAUGCUGAAAUUGUGUGGGUGCAUCUAUGUCUAAUAUACGAGUGGAUGGAGUUGGUGUCUUACUGACAGGCUAAGAUCCUACUCCAAUGGUGUGGAAAAUGCGCUCUACUGAGAAAAUAUGAUGCCUGGUUCCGGUGAGCAAUUAAUA